rnacentral:lncRNA from 1 species
UCUUCGCUGCAGUUCCAUCUUGGCCCACGGUUUGAGCCCGUCAAGGAAGGUGAAGAGAGAGUCUUCGUUGCUGAGGUCUGGUACCUCCAACAAUAAUUCGCUGAACUCUCGCACAUCACCCUUUUGCGUGAGUCACCGUAGUCGUGCUCGAGCAACAUCCUUAGCGAACGCGGGGAAGAAUUGCUUUCGAAGUUCAGUUUGGAACUGUGCCCAAGAGGUGAUUGGAACAGCCCCUCGCUUCACAUCAUCAGCCCGACGUCGCCACCAAAGCAUCGCCACGU